rnacentral:pre_miRNA from 1 species
UGACUUUUUCCUUUGUCAAACUUUUUUAAAGUUUGACCAAGUUUGUAGAAAAAUAUAGGAACAUUUCCAACACAAAAAGCAAACAUAUUAUCAAAAUAUAUUCAAUGUUACAUUUAAUUAAACUAAUUUGGUGUUGUAGAUGCUGCUACAUUUUCCUAUAAACUUGGUCAAAUCUAAAGAAGUUUGAUUAGGAAAAAAGUCAA